rnacentral:lncRNA from 1 species
ACAGCCAGGGCCAUCUUGCUCUCUGUAUGAGAUUAUUGCAACCACUCUGCAGCGUGAGAAGCAAUAAAGCACUGGAGUUAGAGCUGAUAUCUGGAGAAUUCCCUGAUGAUGCAAAUGAAGAACCUCUUAGUACAGGUAACAACAGCAGCAGCACCUGUUAUAACACCACAAGGAUUACAAGGACUCAAAAAAAGCUAAUUUCCAGGAAGAGAAAACAGCUCGUCUCAGGAAGAAGACAUAUGCAUGCGGAAUUACAAAAUUUUGAAUAAUUAGAAAAUACCAGAGAAGAGAAUGCAAAGAUAAGGAGGGAAUUUCAGUAAGAAUAGCAGAAAAAAUAGAGAGAUUAAAGCAAGUAAACUUUCUCCAUCUUCGCCUUUUGUCUCUUUGUUUUUGACAAUUUGCCAUGGAAUUACCUGUGUCUCAGAAAUACACCCUCACGUGUUGGUGUAAGGCAAAAACCAAAUCUCCUAUAAUAAGUAGGUCCUCAGAAGGAAUCCAUGGUCUAGUUUCCAUCUUGUUGAACAGUCUGAUUGAUCUAAAUACUCUACUGUCAUUGGCACAACCUGGAAAUCCUGUGUGUAUGCAUGUAAAUUUCUGAUAAACUGUAAAAACAGCUAUUAAGUUUACACUGUUCAUUAUUCUGACAAGGUAGUUAGACUACAGGUUCUCGGCUUCACCACUGAUAUGGCAAGCAACAAGAGCACCAAUCACACUUGGCUGAUGAGAAAAUGCUGAAAUUCUCUUUCCCUUUCCUACUUGCUUGUGCCGUGACAGCACAAGACUUCUAAUAUUUUCAGGUCAAAUGUGACUGCUUUUGACACUCCAAACAAUUAUUUAACUUCACUAUAUGGCAUAGGAGUUCCUAAAUAACAGUCAUACAAAUGGCUUUUUUAAGUCCUAGAUGAUGGGUGUCACAGUGAUGGUCCUUCGGCCAAUGUAACACUCAUAAUGGUCAUAAAUGGCCUACAGGUGGCAGGAAAAAUUAUUAGCAUGUGAAGUUAGAAACACUCGCAGUGCAGUUAGUUGAAAAUAAGGUUACUUUUUUCUACAUGUAUGAUAUCAUAACAAAGUAGACCUCAUAUUUAAAACUAAAAUACAAUAAACUGUUGCAUCUCAUGCAUGAUUAAUGCAUACACUUUAUCAGUUUGUUACCAUUACUAUCACCAUACAAAAUUGAUUAAGUAAAAUAAACAUAAUCAGCCAAUUUUUAAUGAUGUCCUGGGAACAAUGAUAUCCUUUUAUUGGCCAUCAAGACAGUAGCUGAAAUAAAAAUUGGGCCUCAAAGGAUUUUGAGUUUGCCAUCCCUGUCUAGAAAGAGGCUGGUACCUAAAGGUCUGGACCAUAUACAGCUUUCAUAUCCUUAAACAUCAAAUUAUGUUUUUGUAACUCUAAGGUGCUUAAGUAGGUCCUGGUUACUCUCCCUUGUUCUAGAAUUUCAACAAAGCCUCCUUGCUGUGGAUGAAUUUCCUUGAAGAAGAAGGGCACACAAAAACAAAAACUUGGAAAAAACAACUCUGGCUAAAAAAUAUAUGGUUUCUAUAUCAUGUAAAGUAAUAUUACAUACAAACAUAUAUCUUCCCAAGAUUUUGUAAUCAUCAGCAAAUAAUUUUUUGACAAUUCACUACACAUUAUACAGUUGCCUGUGUGUUCAUUAUAUUAUUCAAAGAUGCAUAUAUGAAAAGGACCUUAAUUUAUCAUAAAAUAUUUUGUUACAGUUAUUUCCUUUAAAUCAUCUAUAUUCAUGAUAAUAAAACACUAUAAGUCUAUAAGUAAUGCCAGGACCAUUUUUUGUUCAACUUGUGUCCCACAAUUAAUUAUGAAAUAAACAUAAAUGAAUAAAAAAAAAAUUAAAAAAAAUCUAUUAAUAACUUGAGAAAUAUGCCAAUAGCAAGAAGCAUGUGUACCACACUAAAGGGAUAUCUUAUUAACUCGCUUCAUUUCUUUAUAAGUAAGGGUUCUGUAUGUUGUGGAAAAUGGUUCAAUUGGUUCUGCCUAAGUGGAAGGGUUGGGAAUCACUGAUCUAAAAAAUAAAACCAAUGAGUCAUUUCUCUCUCCCAUUGGCUAAUUAUACUACAUGGGAGCUUUGAUAUCUAUGGAAAUGUAACCUAUUCUUUUUGGGAAAUCGCUGUUUUAUAACACACAGAGCAACACUUACAAAAAAGGAGACUGCA